rnacentral:lncRNA from 1 species
UAUAUAAAUUAUAAACCCAUCCAGUUUAAAGCAGAUCAGUUGCAGUUGUGUCACUUAAGUCCGUAGAAGGCUGAGGCAAACGUAUCUCCUACAGUCAUAAAUUAACAAUGAAUAAUCCAGGAAGAGAAAGGUCAGGUAAGGCUGCAGAUACAACAACAACAACAACAAAAACUCUCUAAGGUUACUAGCAGUUAAAAUAAAGUCACGAUUAUCAAUGAUUGCAAAAUAUAAAUGCAGUUUUUGAACAGUUAAAAAGUACAAAAAUGAUGGGCAACACAAACAGGCAUUGUAGGGUUUGUCCUGUGUGUAGACAAAGCAGAGCAGGAGACUUCUGACCUUUAUCUACAUUAGACGCUGAUUUUAAGCAGUUGAGGAAAUCUGUAAAAGGAUCGUGGCUCAUGAUCCCAGUAGUAUAAAAGCAGUACUUGUCAGUCUGUAAACAGUAGUCUUGGUAGCUUCUUCUAGGUAUGGUUUCAAUUUAUCACCUCGCCCCCAAAAAAAUAAACCCGGAAACAAACAAAAACAAAGUCCCAAGAGUGGAAAAGGGGGAGCAGCAGCAAUGGGUUACAGCUUCAAUUUCUUAUCCUGUCCCUGUGGGACAUAUUCUGGAGGGGAAAUGCUCUUUUGUAAGAAAUAUAUAAUAUAUUUAACUGUACACAAUAUAUAGGGGGAGAGAAAUUCUCCCUCAACCAAGCCCCAGUCGGUCAGUACAUAGUCAUUAUUGUACACCAUUUCCUCCUAUAAAGAAACUACAGCUUGUAAAGAGAUGGCAUCUGGGUUUAUAAAACACCACGUAAUCAAAAACCUGUAUUUGACAAGCUGGUUGUUUGCCAGUAGCUGGAACUGGGAACGGGGCAGCAGCCAACACUGUGAGACAGUGAGUACUGCCCCUGAGCUGGCACGAGGCUGGCUGAACUGUGCCACAGGAAGCAAGAGCCAGCCGUGGAUCCAUCUCCUCUCAGCCUCUGCUUCAGAUGACACACGUGCCCCCUUCCAGCAGUUUCAAUUCUGCUUUUAAGGGAGCUGAUGCAGAAACCCUUUUUUAAAAGCAAGUUCUGCUUUCAGGCACAUGGCAGGGUUUUAAAAGCCUG